rnacentral:lncRNA from 10 species
CAAGUACCCUCCGUAGUGUGGGUGAGCCUCUUCCAAUCAGUGGAAAGCCUUAAGAGCAAAGAGUCAGGUUUUCCAGGAAGAAGCAAUUCUUUUAUAUAUAUGUAUAUUUUUAUUAUACUUUAAGUUCUAGGGUACAUGUGCAGCUACCUGUGUUUCCAGCUAGAACUUUCCCUCAGCAAAGCAGAGACAUCGACACUUGAGCUGUUAAUCAAGAAAGCUUAAUUUCCCUUAGUAUUUUCUUCCAAUAGAAUCAGUUGGUAUCGAGAAAGAAACUUCUCAUUUUCAGUUUGUGGGUGCUUGUUUCCAGGAAAGGUCUUUGUAAGAGAAUUGGACUUAACUGUCCAAAGUAUUCAGAAUUCAGAAAUAAAAAUUCCACACUUAAAAAGCAAAACUGACUGAAAUGUGUCACCUCUUUCUGGCAACUCUGACGUGGAGAGAAAUGUCAGGAGCUGCUGCUGAUCUGUGGCUGCUGGGAAAGAGGAGGCUCUGAGUGAGCUCCAAAGCUUGCAGCAGCUGAGCUCCCGGCAUCAGGGACCUGCAAGUAUCUAGAACAUGUGAAUAACGGUGCAUUUCAAUUACCCUAUGAUCACAAGACACAGAUUUGUAACCCAAAGAAAUCCAUAAAUCACAGAGGGAGGAAAAAUCCUGGGGUCACGCAUCCUUAACUCCGCACCACGGAACCCCUGAGCCCAGCUCUGUGGCGUCUCACUGUGUGACCCUGGGCAGAGUAUUUAGGCCUCUUCUCCCCCAUAAAUCAAGACACUUGUACCUAAUUACAGACUUGUCUUGAGGAUCAAAUCAAGCAACCCACAUAAAACACUUAGGACAGUGUCUAGUUUGCAGCGUGUGCUCAGAGAAUAUCUCUUGGUAUUAUUUGAAAGUCAUCCAAAAACUUCAAGCCUGCAUGAUCAGAAUAGACGCUGCACAAUGACAGGACAAGUAACAAAUGGAUUUCAAAUUUUAAAGACUCCCAAAUUAAAUCAUGAAAUUUCAGAAAACACUGACUUUUGGGUGGAAACGGAUUACCGACUCGUUUGUAAAGGCCUUGUGGAUCUUGUAGGAUUCCUGAGCUACAACCGGAGAGAUUAACUGGUGAUUGUGGUCUACUCUCAUUUUGCCAGUGAUAAAAACCAAGAACAGAAAAAGUCCUUGGUUCCCCUGGUCUCCUAGCAAGCCAGUGGCAGAGAUCGAUUCCAAAUGAGCCCCUAACGUUGGCUGAGGAUGGUCUUCCGUCCCCACUGCUCAAACCACGGGUCCUGGUGAUGUUUCUCCCCUUCAUCGACUCCUUUUCUGAAGCUCUCACCCUCUCACGCUGCCCUC